UACGUAGGGUCCGAGCGUUGUCCGGAAUUAUUGGGCGUAAGGGGCUCGUAGGCGGUUUGUCGCGUCGGGAGUGAAAACUCAGGGCUCAACCCUGAGCGUGCUUCCGAUACGGGCAGACUAGAGGUAUGCAGGGGAGAACGGAAUUCCUGGUGUAGCGGUGGAAUGCGCAGAUAUCAGGAGGAACACCGGUGGCGAAGGCGGUUCUCUGGGCAUUACCUGACGCUGAGGAGCGAAAGCAUGGGGAGCGAACAGG
rnacentral:rRNA from 1 species